AUAAGUCAAAUUUGUAUGGAGUUGGAACGUUUGCCUACGUUUGCCGCUACUGUUGCCGCACUGUUCCAGCUGCAUACAAUAUCAGGUA
rnacentral:pre_miRNA from 1 species